rnacentral:misc_RNA from 1 species
UCCGGUUUGUCACCGGCAGUCCCAUUAGAGUGCUCAACUGAAUGUAGCAACUAAUGGCAAGGGUUGCGCUCGUUGCGGGACUUAACCCAACAUCUCACGACACGAGCUGACGACAGCCAUGCAGCACCUGUGUUGCGGUUCCCUUUCGGGCACCCCUGCAUUUCUGCAGGGUUCCGCACAUGUCAAGGGUAGGUAAGGUUUUUCGCGUUGCAUCGAAUUAAUCCACAUCAUCCACCGCUUGUGCGGGUCCCCGUCAAUUCCUUUGAGUUUUAAUCUUGCGACCGUACUCCCCAGGCGGCCAACUUCACGCGUUAGCUUCGACACCGCGGGGGUCAAUACCCGCGACGUCUAGCACUCACCGUUUACAGCGUGGACUAC